rnacentral:rRNA from 1 species
GAUCCUGCCGGACCUCACUGCUAUCGGGAUGAGACUAAGCCAUGCAUGUUGUGCGCCUCCAAACCACGUUGGUAGGAGCACAUGCUCAACCUGAGACUCACGUCAUAAACAUGACUAACCUGCCCUGGGGAUCAGAAUACCCACGGGAAACUGUGGAUAAUUCUGGAUGGGUGAGGGUGCCUGGAAGGGCUCCUUAUUGAAAGGGUGUGUGAGCCAUGUUCUCAUACAUUGUCCCAGGAUGGGGUCAUGUCCGAUCAGGCUGUUGGUGAGGUAAUGGCUCACCAAACCAGUAACCGGUACGGGCCGUGAGAGCGGAAGCCCGGAGAUGGAUCCUGAGACAAGGAUCCAGGCCCUACGGGGCGCAGCAGGCGCGAAACCUCCGCAAUGCGCGAAAGCGUGACGGGGUUAUCCCGAGUGUCGCCUGCUGAAGGCGACUUUUUCUCAGUCUACAAAGCUGGGGGUAAUAAGGGGAGGGCAAGUCUGGUGUCAGCCGCCGCGGUAAUACCAGCUCCCCGAGUGGUGAGGAGGAUUAUUGGGCCUAAAGCGUCCGUAGCCGGCUUAGUAAGUCUCCCGUCAAAUCCGACGAUCCAAUCGCCGGGCUGCGGGAGAUACUGCUGAGCUAGGAGGCGGGAGAGGCCGGCGGUACUUCUGGGGUAGGGGUGAAAUCCUAUAAUCCCGGAAGGACCACCAGUGGCGAAGGCGGCCGGCCAGAACGCGCCCGACGGUGAGGGACGAAAGCUGGGGGAGCGAACCGGAUUAGAUACCCGGGUAGUCCCAGCUGUAAACGAUGCGGGCUAAGUGUCGGAAUGGCUAUUGUGCCAUUUCGGUGCUGCAGGGAAGCCGUUAAGCCCGCUGGAACGCCUGGGGAGUUACGGCCGCAAGGACUGAAGGACUGGUAAAGGAAUUGGCGGGGGAGCACCACAAGGGGUGAAGCCUUGCGGUUUAAUUGGAAUGUCA